rnacentral:rRNA from 1 species
CAGUAGCCGCGGGAAUACGAAGGGGGCUAGCGUUGUUCGGAUUUACUGGGCGUAAAGCGCACGUAGGCGGACUUUUAAGUCAGGGGUGAAAUCCCGGGGCUCAACCCCGGAACUGCCUUUGAUACUGGAAGUCUUGAGUAUGGUAGAGGUGAGUGGAAUUCCGAGUGUAGAGGUGAAAUUCGUAGAUAUUCGGAGGAACACCAGUGGCGAAGGCGGCUCACUGGACCAUUACUUACGCUGAGGUGCGAAAGCGUGGGGAGCAAACAGGAUUAGAUACCCCAGUAGUCCCUGUCUCUUAUAC